rnacentral:rRNA from 1 species
AGUGAACGCUGGCGGUAGGCCUAACACAUGCAAGUCGAACGGCAGCACAGUAAGAGCUUGCUCUUACGGUUGGCGAGUGGCGGACGGGUGAGGAAUACAUCGGAAUCUACUUUUUCGUGGGGGAUAACGGAGGGAAACUUACGCUAAUACCGCAUACGACCUACGGGUGAAAGCAGGGGAUCUUCGGACCUUGCGCGAUUGAAUGAGCCGAUGUCGGAUUAGCUAGUUGGCAAGGUAACGGCUUACCAAGGCAACGAUGCGUAGCUGGUCUGAGAGGAUGAUCGGCCACACUGGAACUGAGACACGGUCCAGACUCCUACGGGAGGCAGCAGUGGGGAAUCUUCCGCAAUGGGCGAAAGCCUGACGGAGCAACGCCGCGUGAGUGAUGAAGGUCUUCGGAUCGUAAAACUCUGUUAUUAGGGAAGAACAAAUGUGUAAGUAACUAUGCACGUCUUGACGGUACCUAAUCAGAAAGCCACGGCUAACUACGUG